rnacentral:rRNA from 1 species
GACGAACGCUGGCGGCGUGCUUAACACAUGCAAGUCGAACGGAAAGGCCCUGCUUUUGUGGGGUGCUCGAGUGGCGAACGCGUGUGUAACACGUGAGUAACCUGCCCUUGACUUUGGGAUAACUUCAGGAAACUGGAGCUCUUACCGGAUAUGAGCUCCUGCUGCAUGGUGGUGGUGGGAAAGUUUCGGCGGUUGGGGAUGGACUGGCGGUUAAUCAUCUUGUUGGUGGGGUAGUGGCUUACCAAGGCUUUGACGGGUAGCCGGACUGAGAGGGUGACCGGCCACAUAGGGACUGAGAAACGGCCAAGAGUGAAACGGGAGGCAGGAGUGGGAAAUAUUGCAAAAAGGGCGGAGGCAGGAUGCAGCAACGCCGCGUGGGGGAAGACGGUUGGUGGGUUAUAAACCGCGUGAGCCUGUGAAGAAGAGUGAGUGACGGUAAUGGGUAAAGAAGCAACGGCUAACUACGUG